rnacentral:rRNA from 1 species
AACGCGAAGAACCUUACCUGGGCUCGAACGGCUUCCUAACGCCGGUGGAAACACCGGUAUCCCGCAAGGGAGUGGAGUCGAGGUGCUGCAUGGCUGUCGUCAGCUCGUGUCGUGAGAUGUUGGGUUAAGUCCCGCAACGAGCGCAACCCUUGUCCUGUGUUGCCAUCAUUCAGUUGGGAACUCGCAGGAGACCGCCAGCGAUAAGCUGGAGGAAGGUGGGGAUGACGUCAAGUCCUCAUGGCCUUUAUGUCCAGGGCUACACACGUGCUACAAUGGACGGUACAAUACGUCGCUAACCCGCGAGGGGGAGCCAAUCGCUAAAAACCGUUCUCAGUUCGGAUUGCAGGCUGCAACUCGCCUGCAUGAAGCUGGAAUCGCUAGUAAUGGCAGAUCAGCACGCUGCCGUGAAUACGUUCCCGGGCCUUGUA